UUCGUAGGCGGUUUGUCGCGUCGUUUGUGAAAACCAGCAGCUCAACUGCUGGCUUGCAGGCGAUACGGGCAGACUUGAGUACUGCAGGGGAGACUGGAAUUCCUGGUGUAGCGGUGAAAUGCGCAGAUAUCAGGAGGAACACCGGUGGCGAAGGCGGGUCUCUGGGCAGUAACUGACGCUGAGGAACGAAAGCGUGGGUAGCGAACA
rnacentral:rRNA from 1 species